GUGGUUGUAUUAGGGGUUGUGGUGUAGCUAGGUGGUUGUAUUAGGGGUUGUGAUGUAGCUAGGUGGUUGUAUUAGGGGUUGUGAUGUAGCUAGGCUGUUGUAUUAGGGGUUGUGGUGUAGCUAGGUGGUUGUAUUAGGGGUUGUGAUGUAGCUAGGUGGUUGUAUUAGGGGUUGUGGUGUAGCUAGGUGGUUGUAUUAGGGGUUGUGGUGUAGCUCGGUGGUUGUAUUAGAUGCUGGUUGUGGUGUAGCUAGGUGGUUAUAUUAGGGGUUGUGAUGUAGCUAGGUGGUUGUAUUAGGGGUUGUGGUGUAGCUAAGUGGUUGUAUUAGGGGUUGUGAUGUAGCUAGGUGGUUGUAUUAGGGGUUGUGGUGUAGCUCGGUGGUUGUAUUAGAUGCUGGUUGUGGUGUAGCUAGGUGGUUAUAUUAGGGGUUGUGAUGUAGCUAGGUGGUUGUAUUAGGGGUUGUGAUGUAGCUAGGUGGUUGUAUUAAGGGUUGUGGUGUAGCUAGGUGGUUGUAUUAGGGGUUGUGAUGUAGCUAGGUGGUUAUAUUAGGGGUUGUGAUGUAGCUAGGUGGUUGUAUUAGGGGUUGUGGUGUAGCUAGGUGGUUGUAUUAGGGGUUGUGGUGUAGCUAGGUGGUUGUAUUAGGGGUUGUGAUGUAGCUAGGUGGUUGUAUUAGGGGUUGUGAUGUAGCUAGGUGGUUGUAUUAGGGGUUGUGGUGUAGCUAGGUGGUUAUAUUAGGGGCAGGUCGUGUGUGUACAUGCGAGCAUUAUCAGUCCGGCCGUGGUGGAGGAUACGGGGGCCGGUUCUGGUGGGCCGGUCUGGAUCAAAGUCCAGGGCCAUUCCGCCCCUGCUCUGAGACACUUUGUGGAUACGGGCCCUGAAGAGAUAAGCUUUGUGUUAGCAUUAAGCACAAUAGUGAUGGAUCCACCUAUUCAUCCUAUGUUCUUAGGGAAGGCAGCCAUAUUGUAGACCUAUCAGAGUUUUGAAUUAAAAGGCAAGCAAAGGAGGUAGAGGCUCAGGAAAGUGGCUGGGCUUGUUUUCACAUAGAUCCAGAUAGAAAUACAGUAGAAAUUAAACAGUUAUGGCAUACACACAUUCAUCACUUUCUGUGUCUCACGCUCACACACACAUACAAAGAACAGUGUGAGGGUCACAUAGUGUGGUAGAGGGUGCUG
rnacentral:lncRNA from 1 species